CCUGAGUUGACCCCCACCGCCGUUAAGGCAGGGAAGCUCCUCCAGACCAGACCAAUGAGCUCAUGAACUACGACAACGUUGCCACCACAGUGUUCACCCCUCUGGAGUAUGGCUGUGUGGGCCUCUCAGGGGAGGAGGCUGAGAGCAGACAUCCAUCCAUCCAGGACUCCAUCGAGUGUGCCAGCUGCUAACACCUGCACCCAGAGAGCCCCAGCUCGAUGUAGAGUGAUGCGUAGCUCCUGUGUGUGAUUGACAGGUGAGCAGAGGGCCUGAUUGAGGUGUGUAUCAGGUGCUGACAGGCACUGUGUGAUCUAAAGCACCGCAGCAGGAGAGGUGCACCAUGGGUCCUGACAGCUGCCUGUGUGCAUGGCCUGGCCUACGACUUGUGUCGGCAUGCACGCUGGCUCAAUAUAAAACACAGCAUGAAACCAGGAUCUCCAAAUGUACCUUUUUUUUAAAGAAGCAAAGAGUUGUGAAAGCAUAGUAUUGU